rnacentral:tRNA from 1 species
AGAAAAGUAAGCUAAGUUAAGCUAGCAGGUUCAUACCCUGCAUAUGGAGUUACUCCCUUUUCUA